GAUGAACGCUGGCGGCGUGCCUAAUACAUGCAAGUCGAGCGAACAGACGAGGUGCUUGCUCCUCUGAGGUUAGCGGCGGUCGGGUGAGUAACAUGUGGAUAACCUACCUAUAAGACUGGGAUAACUUUGGCAAACCGGAGCUAAUACCGGAUAAUAUAUCGAACCGCAUGGUUCAAUAGUGAAAGACGGUUUUGCUGUCACUUAUAGAUGGAUCCGCACCGCUUUAGCUAGUUGGUAAGGUAACGGCUUACCAAGGCGACGAUGCGUACCCGACCUGAGAGGGAGAUCGGCCACACGGGAUCUGAGACCCAGUCCAGACUCCUACGAUGGGCAGCAGUAUGGAAUCAUCCGCAAGGGGCGAAAGGCUGACGUAGCAAAGCCGCGUAAGUGAUGAAGGACUACGGAUCGUAGAACUCUGUUAUUAGGGAGGAACAAAUGUGUAAGUAACUAUGCACGUCUUGACGGUACCUAGUCAGAAAGCCACGGCUAACUACGUG
rnacentral:rRNA from 1 species